ACCUGAGAACAAGGACAUGACAACAAUCAGUUCAAAUGGAGAGAGUUAAAAUUUACCUGCUUGCCAGGCUGGCAGCUGCCAGGCCCAGAUAGCGCCCUCUCCCCCUCUCUCUCCUCCCCUUUCUUCCUUUUUAGGUGAUCCAUGGAGUAAUUGCAGCAGCAGGUGAUCUGCAUCAUCACAAUCAUCAGCCGGUUCAGGAGCAGGUGGAACGCAGCCAAUCAAGCCUCACACUGCAAUAUAACCAGACACCACUCACCUCCCAGUGGGGGAUCCUGAUACAGCCUCUCUAGAUCCACCUGCUCCUGUUUGGACUCACCUGGGUUCUCCGUCGCUUCUCUCUCUUCGUUCCUUCAGCAUCAGAGAUUCACUCAGCAGAGCCGACUCGACCACCUGCCGUUCUCACCAUCACCUACCAGCCGCUGCAACUGCCUUGGAUCACAUGCACCCAGAGGUUUCCAGUUGGAGCCUAGUCCGAGCAUCAGUUAUUUGAAUUGUUUUGUAAUUUGUUUCUGAUAGUUAUAGAGUUGCUUCAUAUUAAUGUUUCAGAGCCUUAGUAGUUGAAGUUAUAGUUCGUAUCAUAGUUGCCUGAGUAAUUUGCAAGCCUUUUGUUGUAGUUUUGAGUCUCGAAAUCAUAGAAUUGUUAAAGUAUUAGCCUUUCUUGCCUGGGUCUUACCCACCAUGAGUUGGCGCCCUUAGUUUUUGUAAUUAGUCCUCCUCGCCACUAGUUGUAGUGAAGCGCCUUUCUUGAGGUUUCCUAGGAUUAAUUCAGGUUAUUUUCCUACUUCGACUUGUAGUCAGCUCUCAGUCCUGAAAAUAAACACUUUAACCUUA